UGUACGGUUACCUGCGGGAAGUGCUCAGAACUGUGAAGCCUUCCAACACAUAAAAAGAUAAUCCCGUGACCCAAGUGGACUCACAGUCUCACAAUUUGCACUGUUUUGCAGAGAGCAACCCUCCCAGUCAAGUCUUUCCUCCCAGAAGAUGCAUCAAAAGAGAGGCCGGGCAAGCAAACAGUGUGCGGCCCUCAGUGGAAAAAGUUUGGACACCCCUGAUUUAGAACAUUACGUUACAAGCAGGGGGAAGCUGUAUGCUGAAUGAUCUGAGGUCAGUGGUAAAGGCGUCUUUGGCAGGCACUUCCUCAUCAGCUGAACAGAGGGCUCCACCAAUGACGUCAGACAUUUAUUCAACAUACACGUCUGCAAAAAUGACCAAAAAUGGCAGACCAACAUUAGAUUUCAGUUCAAAAUAUGUGGCAGUUGACUAGUUUGCUUUUCUAUUCCAGCCCAUUCCCAAAAUGCAGAUUGCCCGCCGCGUGGAAGGCAGAGCGAUCUGUUGGGGGCCCCAUUUUGUAUAUAAAAAAUGUCAAUGAAUGA